rnacentral:tRNA from 1 species
CGGGGUGUGGCGCAGUUUGGUAGCGCGUUGCGUUCGGGACGCAGAGGUCGCCGGUUCGAGCCCGGCCACCCCGACCA